GCCGGGAUAGCUCACU
rnacentral:tRNA from 1 species